GCAGGCCUAACACAUGCAAGUCGAGCGGAUGAGGGAAGCUUGCUUCCCGAUUUAGCGGCGGACGGGUGAGUAAUGCCUAGGAAUCUGCCUAUUAGUGGGGGAUAACGUUCCGAAAGGAACGCUAAUACCGCAUACGUCCUACGGGAGAAAGUGGGGGAUCUUCGGACCUCACGCUAAUAGAUGAGCCUAGGUCGGAUUAGCUAGUUGGUGGGGUAACGGCUCACCAAGGCGACGAUCCGUAGCUGGUCUGAGAGGAUGAUCAGCCACACUGGAACUGAGACACGGUCCAGACUCCUACGGGAGGCAGCAGUGGGGAAUAUUGGACAAUGGGCGAAAGCCUGAUCCAGCCAUGCCGCGUGUGUGAAGAAGGUCUUCGGAUUGUAAAGCACUUUAAGUUGGGAGGAAGGGUUGUAAGCUAAUAUCUUGCAGCUUUGACGUUACCAACAGAAUAAGCACCGGCUAACUCUGUGCCAGCAGCCGCGGUAAUACAGAGGGUGCAAGCGUUAGUCGGAAUUACUGGGCGUAAAGCGCGCGUAGGCGGCUUAGUAAGUUGGAUGUGAAAGCCCCGGGCUCAACCUGGGAACUGCAUCCAAAACUGCUUGGCUAGAGUACAGUAGAGGGUGGUGGAAUU
rnacentral:rRNA from 1 species